UACGUAGGGUGCGAGCGUUGUCCGGAAUUAUUGGGCGUAAAGAGCUCGUAGGCGGCUUGUCACGUCGGAUGUGAAAACCCGGGGCUCAACCCCGGGCCUGCAUUCGAUACGGGCAGGCUAGAGUUCGGCAGGGGAGACUGGAAUUCCUGAUGUAGCGGUGAAAUGCGCAGAUAUCAGGAGGAACACCGGUGGCGAAGGCGGGUCUCUGGGCCGAUACUGACGCUGAGGAGCGAAAGCGUGGGGAGCGAACAGG
rnacentral:rRNA from 1 species